UAGGGAAUCUUCGGCAAUGGACGAAAGUCUGACCGAGCAACGCCGCGUGAGUGAAGAAGGUUUUCGGAUCGUAAAACUCUGUUGUUAGAGAAGAACAAGGACGUUAGUAACUGAACGUCCCCUGACGGUAUCUAACCAGAAAGCCACGGCUAACUACUUGCCAGCAGCCGCGGUAAUACGUAGGUGGCAAGCGUUGUCCGGAUUUAUUGGGCGUAAAGCGAGCGCAGGCGGUUUCUUAAGUCUGAUGUGAAAGCCCCCGGCUCAACCGGGGAGGGUCAUUGGAAACUGGGAGACUUGAGUGCAGAAGAGGAGAGUGGAAUUCCAUGUGUAGCGGUGAAAUGCGUAGAUAUAUGGAGGAACACCAGUGGCGAAAGCGGCUCUCUGGUCUGUAACUGACGCUGAGGCUCGAAAGCGUGGGGAGCAAACAGG
rnacentral:rRNA from 1 species